AUAGCCUAGUGUAGGCGGCAGCUUUUUAAUCUGUUAACGGAUACGUCCU
rnacentral:tRNA from 1 species